rnacentral:rRNA from 1 species
UACGGAGGAUCCGAGCGUUAUCCGGAUUUAUUGGGUUUAAAGGGAGCGUAGGUGGAUUGUUAAGUCAGUUGUGAAAGUUUGCGGCUCAACCGUAAAAAUUGCAGUUGAAACUGGCAGUCUUGAGUACAGUAGAGGUGGGCGGAAUUCGUGGUGUAGCGGUGAAAUGCUUAGAUAUCACGAAGAACUCCGAUUGCGAAGGCAGCUCACUGGACUGCAACUGACACUGAGGCUCGAAAGUGUGGGUAUCAAACAGG